UACGUAGGGUGCAAGCGUUAAUCGGAAUUAUUGGGCGUAAAGCGUACGUAGGCGGUCCAGCAAGUCGGGUGUGAAAGCCCUUGGCUUAACCAAGGAAGUGCAUUCGAAACUACUGGACUUGAAUACUGGAGAGGAUCGCGGAAUUCCCGGUGUAGAGGUGAAAUUCGUAGAUAUCGGGAGGAACACCAGUGGCGAAGGCGGCGAUCUGGACAGAUAUUGACGCUGAUGUACGAAAGCGUGGGGAGCAAACAGG
rnacentral:rRNA from 1 species